rnacentral:rRNA from 1 species
AGCGAACGCUGGCGGCAGGCUUAACACAUGCAAGUCGAACGCCUCUCCCGGGGAGUGGCAGACGGGUGCUUAGCACGUGGGAACGUACCCUUUGGUUCGGAAUAACUUGGGGAAACUACCUUGAAUACCGGAUAAGCCCUUAUGGUGACAUGUUUACUGCCGAAGGAUCGGCCCGCGUCUGAUUAGCUAGUUGGUGAGGUAAUGGCUCACCAAGGCGACGAUCAGUAGCUGGUCUGAGAGGAUGAUCAGCCACACUGGGACUGAGACACGGCCCAGACUCCUACGGGAGGCAGCAGUGGGGAAUAUUGGACAAUGGGGGCAACCCUGAUCCAGCCAUGCCGCGUGAGUGAUGAAGGCCUUAGGGUUGUAAAGCUCUUUUACCCGGGACGAUAAUGACUGUACCGGGAGAAUAAGCCCCGGCUAACUUCGUGCCAGCAGCCGCCGUAA